GACGAACGCUGGCGGCGUGCUUAACACAUGCAAGUCGAGCGAUGAAGCUUCUUCGGAAGUGGAUUAGCGGCGGACGGGUGAGUAACACGUGGGCAACCUGCCUUGUAGAGGGGGAUAGCCUUCCGAAAGGAAGAUUAAUACCGCAUAACAUAGCGAACUCGCCUGGGUUUGCUAUCAAAGAUUUAUCGCUACAAGAUGGGCCCGCGUCGCAUUAGCUAGUUGGUGAGGUAACGGCUCACCAAGGCCACGAUGCGUAGCCGACCUGAGAGGGUGAUGGGCCACAUUGGACCUAAGACACGGUCCAGACGCCUACGGGAGGCAGCAGUGGGAAUAUUGCACAAGGGGCGAAAGCCUGAUGCAGCAACGCCGCGUGAGUGAUGAAGGUCUUCGGAUUGUAAAGCUCUUUGAUUAGGGACGAUAAUGACGGUACCUAAAGAACAAGCCACGGCUAACUACGUGCCAGCCGCCGCGGUAA
rnacentral:rRNA from 1 species